AUGACCUGAGUUCUGUUGGUUGCCAGGUGUUUCUGCACUGCAGUGCUUCCGUGUGCCAGACUGAGGGGAUGCCAUCCUGCACGGUCACCUGUCCUCCCGCCAACCGAAGAAGAAAAUCUGACCUGUAUUUUCAGAACAGAACUGCCAGCAUUUCUAGCAAGGGCCCCAUGAUUCUACUCCAAGCUACUGAGGAC
rnacentral:lncRNA from 1 species